UACAGAGGUCCCGAGCGUUGUUCGGAUUCACUGGGCGUGAAGGGUGCGUAGGUGGUGAGGUAAGUCGGAUGUGAAAUCUCCGGGCUCAACCCGGAAAUGGCAUUGGAAACUACCUUGCUGGAGGAUUUGAGGGGGGAUUGGAAUACUUGGUGUAGCAGUGAAAUGCGUAGAUAUCAAGUGGAACACCAGUGGCGAAGGCGAAUCCCUGGAAAAUACCUGACACUGAGGCACGAAAGCUAGGGGAGCAAACAGG
rnacentral:rRNA from 1 species